UAGGGAAUUUUCGUCAAUGGGGGCAACCCUGAACGAGCAAUGCCGCGUGAGCGAAGAAGGUCUUCGGAUUGUAAAGCUCUGUUGCCGGGGAAAAAGGAAGGAAAGAGGAAAUGCUUUUCUUUGGAUGGUACCCGGCCAGAAAGUCACGGCUAACUACGUGCCAGCAGCCGCGGUAAUACGUAGGUGGCAAGCGUUAUCCGGAAUGAUUGGGCGUAAAGGGUGAGCAGGCGGUUCUUCAAGUCAUGAGUGAAAGGCAGAAGCUUAACUUCUGUUGGCUGAUGAGACUGGAGAACUUGAGUACAGGAGAGGGCGGCGGAACUCCAUGUGUAGCGGUAAAAUGCGUAGAGAUAUGGAAGAACACCAGUGGCGAAGGCGGCCGCCUGGACUGAAACUGACGCUCAGGCACGAAAGCGUGGGGAGCAAAUAGG
rnacentral:rRNA from 2 species